CUUCUCUAUUUCCUUUAUUGUUUUAUUUUGUGUAGGGAAAGACCUGUUUCUAUAAAUAACUUACAAUAUGUACAAAUAUAAACAAGUCACAGUUCAUUUAUACUUUGUAAAACAUUACAAAUAGUGGACGGACAAUUAAAAAUCCCAUUAUUUACUUUAAAUAUUCAAUUAAAUAGAAAAAUAAUAAUAAUAUCCAUAACAUUAAAACUAAAGGUAAUAUCAUCAAAUAAAGUUUGACAUGUAUCUUAUAAGUAUUCUAGUCAUUUACUUUAACUUGUAUGUCAAAUAUAAAUAUGCUCACAUAAAAAAAAUAGAAAGUUAAUUAUUCAGUUUAUAUUUAAAGAAAAUGUCAGAGAAUGACAAACUAAAUGUCUAGUAAAAUGUUGCAAAUUAAAUUUGGAUAACACUUAUUUGAUAUCUAUUCAAGAGGUGAUAAACAUUGAAUUCCUUUUCUACCAGUCCAAAUCUUUAUUCAGAUGAAUUCCGAUUUAUCAUUUUGAUUAAAAUAAAAAAAAAUAAAAAAAUAGGUUUAGAUUUUACACUUUUUCAUCUCACAAGGUCAAAUGUAAUAUUGUAUGUUACAAAUACACACACAGAUCUGUAUCUCUCAUUAGCUUAGGACUAUUGUAAAGAUAUAUAAAAAUGUCUCUCGUACUUUACAGUACCUACUAGUAUAAUAAAUCUAAUCUUAAUACCCUCAGCUACAGAAAUGCCAUCUACAAAUAUCCAUAAAUAAAUGCAUUUUUGAACUAUUGUCCUACUGACAUUUAAAUGAAAUGACAAUGACUCAAAACUCUUCAAAUGUGAUUAUUAAUAAUGAGGAAAUAAAAUUGUCUACAAAUUAGACAAUUGUUAAUAUUUUUGUUCAAGGAUGAAAAUAAUUAAAGUGAUUUACUUCUUAAAGAUGGCUUUGAAAUCUAAAACUGAAAAUAUGUAAUUAUCAAUUUCGAGCAGGAAAUAAAAGACAUUCUGAGUGCUGCAAAAUGAAAUGGAAUGUUUUGCUUACAUGAUAAAUAGUAUAAGGUAUAGAUAUUUAAUCCCAAGUAAAAUGAACAAACAUAUAUGUAUUUAAUCAUUUAUAAUUCAUAAACAAAGACGACUAUGAGCUAUUUCAAAAUCUUAGCCAAUCUAAUUGUAAUUAAACGUGUUCCUUUUGAUAAACA
rnacentral:lncRNA from 1 species